rnacentral:rRNA from 1 species
AGCGAACGCUGGCGGCAGGCCUAACACAUGCAAGUCGAACGAACCCUUCGGGGUUAGUGGCGGACGGGUGAGUAACACGUGGGAACGUACCUUUAGGUUCGGAACAACACAGGGGAAACUUGUGCUAAUGCCGAAUGUGCCCUUCGGGGGAAAGAUUUAUCGCCUUUAGAGCGGCCCGCGUCUGAUUAGCUUGUUGGUGAGGUAAAGGCUCACCAAGGCUUCGAUCAGUAGCUGGUCUGAGAGGAUGAUCAGCCACACUGGGACUGAGACACGGCCCAGACUCCUACGGGAGGCAGCAGUGGGGAAUCUUGCGCAAUGGGCGAAAGCCUGACGCAGCCAUGCCGCGUGAAUGAUGAAGGUCUUAGGAUUGUAAAAUUCUUUCACCGGGGAAGAUAAUGACGGUACCCGGAGAAGAAGCCCCGGCUAACUUCGUGCCAGCAGCCGCGGU